rnacentral:rRNA from 1 species
GGAUACCCGAGGGAAACUUCGGUUAAUACGGUAUAAGACCACACUACCGCAUGGUAGAGGGGUAAAAGGGGCAACCUGGUAUGAGAUGGACUCGCGUCGCAUUAGCUAGUUGGUGAGGUAACGGCCCAUCAAGGCGACGAUGCGUAGCCGACCUGAGAGGGUGAUCGGCCACAUUGGGACUGAGAUACGGCCCAGACUCCUACGGGAGGCAGCAGUGGGGAAUAUUGGGCAAUGGAGGAAACUCUGACCCAGCAAUGCCGCGUGAAUGAAGAAGGUCUUCGGAUUGUAAAGUUCUUUAGUCAGGGAAGAAGUCAAUGACGGUACCUGAAGAAUAAGCUCCGGCUAACUACGUGCCAGCAGCCGCGGUAAUACGUAGGGAGCAAGCGUUGUUCGGAAUGACUGGGCGUAAAGGGUGCGUAGGCGGUUGUACAAGUUAGAAGUGAAAUACCCAGGGCUUAACUCGGGUGCUGCUUCUAAAACUGUAUGACUUGAGUGCAGUAGAGGUUAGUGGAAUUCCUAGUGUAGCGGUGGAAUGCGUAGAUAUUAGGAGGAACACCAGAGGCGAAGGCGGCUAACUGGACUGCAACUGACGCUGAGGCACGAAAGUGUGGGGAGCAAACAGGAUUAGAUACCCUGGUAGUCCACACUGUAAACGAUGGAUACUAGAUGUAGGAGGUAUCGACUCCUUCUGCGUCGCA